UCUUAGAAUAAAACUUUCGAGUCUUCACACUUUUCUUUCUCCUCUUCCUUCCUCUUUCUUUCAGGCAAGACAGCCUCCUGAAAACCAGGCACAUAUCUCAUGUGAUAACGCGAAGAAUGAUGUUUUUCUUAAAAGAAUCAUGGAAAUCUGUUUUCUCUGUUUUAUAAUGAAAUUUCACCAUGGCUUUCUCUUUAGUGCUCUCUGAAGUCAUUGCUAUAUUGCUCUUUGAGGAGAAGAAGCUCGGGUCACGGUCCCGGAGUUGUGAGACCGAACCAGGCGCCGAGCUCCCCGCUCAGUUCAGAGUCUGCCCAUGUUUCUCGGCCUCUCCAUCUGCCCCCUCCCUCCACUGUCUCUCUCACUCUGUCUCUCUCUCAAGUCAAUGAAUAAAUAAAAUCUUUGAAGAAAAAAGAAAGCAAGACAAUGGGAAGCAGCUUUAGAGACCAAUGUAGGUACAUAAGCACUGUGAGAAUAUCUGACCUGGAAAGGUCAUGUGAAAAGAUGCAAAGUGAAGGACACCUGAGCAAGUGACGCGAUCCCAAAAGACGGACAAGAGUCGGUCUGUGCCACCCGAUGAGGCGUGAUGCUAGUUUGACACAUGAUUGUGACAUUUUCCCUGUAAAGUUCUUGCUACUUUGUGACCCUCUCUCCUCAGCAAGCUAGACACAGACGCCUGUUGUCUCAAAGGAGGGGUGUCACCGUGCACAGCCAGGAGGAAACUUAGUCCAAUUCUGGGGUCUGUUUGGUUGUAGAACUUUGUCAAAUAAGAGUGACCCCCAAACCUUACACCAACCCACUCUCUCCCUUGGCUAUGCCAAGUUUGAUUCUUUUUAAAAUCACUGAGAUAAUUUUAGAAAUCAAAGUUGCCCUCUAAGGUGCCUGAGUGGCUCAGUUGAUUAAGCUUUCAAUUUUUUAUUUUUGGCUCAGGUCAUGAUCUGAGGGUCAUGAGAUCAAACCCCAUGUUGGGCUGUGGGCUGAGUCUGCUCAAGGUUUUCUCCCUUUAAAAAAAAAAAAAAAGUU
rnacentral:lncRNA from 1 species